UGGGGAAUAUUGCACAAUGGACGGAAGUUUGAUGCAGCGACGCCGCGUGGUGGGUGUAGGCUUUCGGGUUUUGAACUCCUUUUUCUCGCGAAAAAGGCACAGGUUUGGCUGUGUUGAAGGUAGUGGGGGAAUAAGCGCCGGCUAACUACGUGCCAGCAGCCGCGGUAAUACGUAGGGCGCGAGCGUGGUCCGGUUUUAUUGGGCGUAAAGACCUCGUAGGUGGUUAGUCGCGUCUGUCGUGCAAGUCAGCAGCUUAACUGUUGGUCUGCGGUGGGUACGGGCGGGCUUGAGUGCGGUAGGGGGGACUGGAAUUCCUGGUGUAGCGGUGGAAUGCGCAGAUAUCAGGAGGAAAACCGAUGGCGAAGGCAGGUCACUGGGCCGUUACUGACACUGGGGAGAGAAAGCGUGGGGAGCGAACAGG
rnacentral:rRNA from 1 species